rnacentral:rRNA from 1 species
AGUGAACGCUGGCGGUAGGCCUAACACAUGCAAGUCGAACGGCGGCACAGUAAGAGCUUGCUCUUACGGGUGGCGAGUGGCGGACGGGUGAGGAAUACAUCGGAAUCUACUUUUUCGUGGGGGAUAACGUAGGGAAACUUACGCUAAUACCGCAUACGACCUACGGGUGAAAGCAGGGGAUCUUCGGACCUUGCGCGAUUGAAUGAGCCGAUGUCGGAUUAGCUAGUUGGCGGGGUAAAGGCCCACCAAGGCGACGAUCCGUAGCUGGUCUGAGAGGAUGAUCAGCCACACUAGAACUGAGACACGGUCCAGACUCCUACGGGAGGCAGCAGUGGGGAAUAUUGGACAAUGGGCGCAAGCCUGAUCCAGCCAUACCGCGUGGGUGAAGAAGGCCUUCGGGUUGUAAAGCCCUUUUGUUGGGAAAGAAAAGCAGCAGGUUAAUACCCCGCUGUUCUGACGGUACCCAAAGAAUAAGCACCGGCUAACUUCGUG